rnacentral:rRNA from 1 species
UGGGGAAUCUUGGACAAUGGGCGCAAGCCUGAUCCAGCCAUGCCGCGUGGAUGAUGAAGGCCUUAGGGUUGUAAAAUCCUUUCGUUGGGGACGAUAAUGACGGUACCCAAAGAAGAAGCUCCGGCUAACUUCGUGCCAGCAGCCGCGGUAAUACGAAGGGGGCUAGCGUUGUUCGGAUUUACUGGGCGUAAAGCGCGUGUAGGCGGAUUUGUAAGUUGGGGGUGAAAUCCCGAGGCUCAACCUCGGAACUGCCUUCAAAACUGGCGACCUGGACCUAAGUAGAGGCAAGUGGAAUUGCGAGUGUAGAGGUGAAAUUCGUAGAUAUUCGCAGGAACACCAGUGGCGAAGGCGACUUGCUGGACUUAUGGUGACGCUGAGACGCGAAAGCGUGGGGAGCAAACAGGAUUAGAUACCCACGUAGUCCCUGAGCGGGCUGGCAAGGCGCAU